rnacentral:misc_RNA from 1 species
UCUCCGUUGGUGAACCAGCGGAGGGAUCAUUACAGAGUUGCAAAACUCCCCAAACCAUUGUGAACCUUACCUUCAACCGUUGCUUCGGCGGGCGGGCCACAGCGCCCCCCGGGCCCCCCCAGCGGGGCGCCCGCCGGAGGAUACCCAAACUCUUGAUACUUUAUGGCCUCUCUGAGUCUUCUGUACUGAAUAAGUCAAAACUUUCAACAACGGAUCUCUUGGUUCUG